UACGUAGGUCCCGAGCGUUGUCCGGAUUUAUUGGGCGUAUAGCGAGCGCAGGUGGUUUAUUAAGUCUGGUGUAAAAGGCAGUGGCUCAACCAUGGUAUGCAUUGGAAACUGGUAGACUUGAGUGCAGGAGAGGAGAGUGGAAUUCCAUGUGUAGCGGUGAAAUGCGUAGAUAUAUGGAGGAACACCGGUGGCGAAAGCGGCUCUCUGGCCUGUAACUGACACUGAGGCUCGAAAGCGUGGGGAGCAAACAGG
rnacentral:rRNA from 1 species